rnacentral:pre_miRNA from 1 species
UUAAUACUCCCUCCGUGUGGAAUUACUUGUCGCAGAAAUGAAUGUAUCUAGACGUAUUUUUAGUUCUCGAUACAUCCAUUUCUGCGACAAGUAAUUUGGGGCGGAGGGAGUAGCAU